rnacentral:rRNA from 1 species
UACGUAGGGGGCAAGCGUUGUCCGGAUUUAUUGGGCGUAAAGAGCGUGUAGGCGGCUCGAUAAGUCUGCUGUGAAAGUCCAGGGCUCAACCCUGGAAGGCCGGUGGAAACUGUCGGGCUAGAGUCCGGAAGAGGCGAGUGGAAUUCCCGGUGUAGCGGUGAAAUGCGCAGAUAUCGGGAGGAACACCUGUGGCGAAAGCGGCGCACUGGACCAUAACUGACGCUGAUGCGCGAAAGCUAGGGGAGCAAACAGG